rnacentral:rRNA from 1 species
UACGUAGGGUGCGAGCGUUUGUCCGGAAUUAUUGGGCGUAAAGAGCUCGUAGGCGGUUUGUCACGUCUGCUGUGAAAUCCCGAGGCUCAACCUCGGGCCUGCAGUGGGUACGGGCAGACUGGAGUGCGGUAGGGGAGAUUGGAAUUCCUGGUGUAGCGGUGGAAUGCGCAGAUAUCGGGAGGAACACCAAUUGCGAAGGCAGCUCGCUGGGACGUCACUGACGCUGAGACGCGAAAGCGUGGGAGCAACAGG